AACUGAUUUGUUGUAACAGGAUGAACAAGAUUCUCUGAGGAUUAAUUCUGGAGAAGAGUUUCUUACAUGGCAGGAUUACAAAGUAAUGUCUUUCACUUAAUGUGUAAGUAAUAAUUCUCCAUUUUAAUUCCUAUGUUUAUGUAGUGUGUAUUUUUCAGGUGAUUGAUGCAUUAGUUAGCCUCUUCUGUCGUUCUAUUAUAUCUGCAGAGACAUUGUGGGAUGGUGGUUGGCUUCUAGGCUAGUUGCUUCCUUACAGUGAGUCAGAGUUCAACAGCAACUACCUUAAGAUGGUGAAAGUUACUUACAAUAGUUGUACUUC